rnacentral:siRNA from 1 species
UGGCAUACAACCCGUUUUAUGUG